GCCUCCAUCGCCGCCACUGGGCAUCCCCACGCUUCCAGCCGCGCCCUCCCUUGCGCCUCCUCCUUCCUCCCUUCGCGCCGCCUCCUCCUCUUCUGCGUGCCUCCCCUCUUUCUCGGCGGCUGCCCGGCGGUAUUGGGGCAGAGUCAGUGCGGAGAAGGGCGGCUGUCGUGGGUGUGGGAUGUCGCUGCGGGAGCUCCGACGGCGGCGGCGGUCGGACGGCAGCGGGGCCUCUCAUGGCUGGAUGAGGCAGAGAUGUGCGGAGGAUCUUCGUCCUCGUCUUCCUCAACACCCAUUUGGGCGCCAUGGCUAGAGGAGGCAGAGCUCGGCAUGGGGGAGAAGGCGACCUCGCCCCACACGGCAGGAGCUCGCCUCCCUAGCCGCCCUCCCUUCUCCUUCUCCCACGCCCAUCUCCAACCCCCAGCCUCCCUGGACGACCGCUGGCCAGCAGGAGCAGCGCACCGCCGGUGCAAGUAGGAGGGGCUGCUGGAGCUGCACGUGCGUGGUUGGCUAGCAACCUGCUUGGCUUUUUUUUGCUCCAUUGGUCCACAGUUCAACAGGUGGAGCCACUUCGAGGUAGAAACAGAUUAAUUUUGCAAGUUCAGCGUUGGAAGUGGAAAUUUGGGCCAAAAUCUUGCUCUUCGGGCAUGUAAGGGUUUGCCAUUUAUGCUUCGAACCAUACUGCAAGUUGUGGAUUUUCUUUGUUCAAGUAAAAUUACAUACAACCAUACUGCAGGUUUGGUUCAUUCUCUAAUUUCAUUCACACGUGCCUCUUCAGCUACUCCUAUUUGAACUAACCAUGGUUUUAGAUGAUUCUUAAACAGGAAUGCCUUUUAUUUAUUUUCAAAAGUCGACAAAUAAUCUAAAUUUUUUUUUUGAAAACAGAGAAACAAUGAUAAACCAAUGCACUGCUGUAAAUGAAAAAAACUUGGAAAUAUUAUUAGUAGGAUACGGUGAUUUGUUAAUUGUACAUUGGCUUGAAACGUACUCUUAGCAUUAUAACUUUCCUCUUUUAUGUUCCUUUUGAAGCAAAGUAGUCUUCAUUUUCUGAUUUGGUUGAUUUUGUGUUUUCUGGAGGAUGGUGGUAUAGAGAAUUGGUGAGACCCCCAUGAGGCUCCUCUGAUCUCAGCGCAUGAAAACCAGGCUGGAGCACGGCUGCAACUCAUGCUCAGCUAAUUUAAGCUCGAGAACCCCAAGCUGCUAUUCUUCAGAUAUCUUUGUCAUGCUUUGCUAAUGAAGUGCCUUUGCUAGCCCAAAUCUAUUCUUAAAUAGUAUAUGCAAACCUUUUUGAUUACAUGUGGGGAAAAUAUGUUAGCACAUCAGCGGAAUUACACCAAGAAAAUUUUUUAAUUGUCAGAGAUUUUUUUAGUUACUUUUGUAGAGGUCUAAAUAGCAACCUAAAAUAGCACCUAUUAAGAUUUGCAUCUCUUGGUUAUGUGAAUUGCUUGUUUUAUAUAUACCUCUUUCUGUUAUGUGACCCAUUCUUGCACUCAGAGUUGGAACAACAGCUACGGGUUGGGAUAAAGGAGGUGGCGAAGACCUUUUAAGUUUAUUCAAUGGGCCUUACCUAUCUGGUUUCACCUUCCAAUACAAUGAGGUGCAGGGCAUGAUGUGUGAGAGGUAUUGGCCAUCUCAAAGGUGAGCUAUUUAUGUGGUUUUAGUUGCGCUUUAUUCCUCCCUUUGCAGUGACGUAACUUUAGCGGGUCUGAGUUCUCUGGGUUGACCGGCCUAAAGCAAGGGUUCAUAUUCAUUGAUUCAACUGUGCCUUUGUUCAUAUGAAGGUUGAUUUAUACAUACCGAUUUGACCCUGAUUUUUUGAACUUCAUGGGAAAUUUUGCGAAGCUCAGACCUCGAGGGACGCAUGAAGUGGUCGGUUCUUUCUAUGGGAAGUAUCAGUCUUGCAAUGGUGCCAAUAAAUUUCAUUGAAGUUCAUUUUUGAGAACCUUGAGUAAAUAAGGUGAUCAGACCAUCCACCAGCGUGGGAAAACAUCCAGCAUCAAGGUUAAACAAAGUUUGCCAUCUUUCUUUUCAGAUAAACCCUUGAUGUAAAUAUGCACGUGUUUUAAAUGCUGAAACUGUGGUUUCAAGAUUGGAUCAUAUAUAUUCAGGUUCUAAAGUAUGAGUUAUCUCCUGGGCACUCAGGUCUGCCUAGACAACUUAUUAGGCGCUAGCCCUGCACCCAGGUGCAACAGCUCCACCAUCAGCUGGAGGUGAGCCCAGACCUGGAGAAAAAAAUCUCAUAUUAUUUGGAUGAAGCAAUUCUAUGAAGCAAAGAAAUGUGACACUAGAAGUAAUUCAAUGAAGCAAAGAAAAUUUGACAGGGAGCAAUAUUGUUGUGGCAAUCCUUUGGAAGGCACCAAUUUCAUCGAAUAGGCAGAAAUUGUCACCAACAAUAAAUUCGUCUUCUCUAAGAGUGAUCUGGCUGCUUAGGAGAAUGUUGAGCCUCACCGAGAUGCAAGAUGUAGAGGUGGCUGGCAUCUACAGUGUGUUGCCGCUGACACCAUGCUUGCUUAGGAUACUCAAUAUGAGGCUCGAGAUGUGAAAUCAUAGGCACGCCGGCCUUGAUGCAUCGGUGAUUUUUUUUAGUAUGAGAGCUUCUCUGUUUUCAGCUCAGCGCUCAUGGCAUGGCGGCCUUGAUGUAUAGAUUGAAUUUUAUUAGCAAGAGCCUUCUAUAUUUUUCCAUUCAACUUUGCAUGUUCCUUGACUUUCCUUGGUUUCACACACCCAGAGGAGGGUUUGCUGCAGCACUGCCAGACGUUCAGGUAGUCUGAGUGAGAUUGUGGUUUACCCAUGCUCUGAUUAGUAUGCUCUUUUCUUAAUCUUCACUUCUUGCUAUGUUCAGCCAGUGUUAAUUCAAGACUAAAUCUGCGCUGCAUAAAGAGAAACCACAAGAUUAUUUUCAGCAGCUUGAGUGUAGAAUUUGCAAAAGAUUAUUUUCAGCAGCUUGAGUAUAUAAUUAGGAACUGAAUCUGACUGCUUUUCCUUUCAAUAAUAUGCCGCUAUAUGUCAGUGUUGUACAGUUUGGGAAUAAAGCUAUCAUCAGGGCGUAAUUGACAUGUUUUAUGCUUCUUUGUAAAUAUUUAAAUAUAAUUAGGAACAUAAUUUGUACCACUUCUCACUUCAGUUUGGAUACACGCACCUGUCUUUAUUUGUGCCAUCAUUGUAUAAUUAGCUAGAAAGCUUCAUUGUUUCUUCAGAUAUGGUGUUAAAUGAUUGAGGAAUCAAGACAGAAAAUAAUAUUGCGUAUUGUAUUUCUCUGUAUUAUACAUGUUCUUAACUGGUGUUUUUUUACCAUCUCGUUUUUCUUAGACCAAUAGUGCUAUAUCUGUGCCUGUUGAAAACUUCAUUAAUAUCUUGCAUGAGAUUAGUGAAUUCCUACUGGUGCUACCAAGGUCAAUUCUUAAGACCGGUUGCAGCAGGUUUUACUAUAAUUAUUGGUGCAUCAACGGUAAUUUACUGUUAAUAUGGCAAUCUCGAUGAUUUCCCUCUUUGGGUGAAAUAUAUUGUCUCAAUGUGCCAGUUGUGACUCCUGAACGACAUUGUGUGUGCUCACUAAUCUUUCUUCUUACUUCUGUCAUAAAUUAUCUGCUUAUUCUCUUGGGCCAAAUACAAAUAACUCUCUUUCUCUUAUGUCCAGAUGUGCUUGGCAAUAUUUCAGCAAUCUCAGCUGUUGUUGUUUUUAUGGUCCCAGGAAAAGGAUUCAGUGCUUAGCAAGGAGAUAUGUAUUCCUCUCUGACCCAAAGAAGGUCGCUGAUGUUUCUCACGUGCUUCCUUUCUGUGUCUAUAUGUUCAUUCUAUUUAUGAUCUAACUAUUGCAUUGAUCGCAACGGCCCGCCGCUAAAAUUUGAUCUCUGAGGUGAUAGUGCUUUAAUGGUAACAUGCUGAGAUUCCUUGGGAAAACUGAGUCAGCUAUAGUUAUCUUUGUUAGCUCCACUAUCUGAGAUUAUUCUGCUAGCCGCUCUUUAUUUCGUUAGACAUUCCAGCAUGGUAUCAUUUAUAUGUUUCCUAUUAACCUAUAUUUGCAGGGGAAAUGGAUAUUUUAUCUUAUUUCAGUGUGGUCAACGAAUCUAAACUCAUCAUUCAUUGGUUAUCAAUAUUGCGCUGCGCCACCAAGUAGGUGACUAUUCAAGGAAUCUCUUGCUGAUUUUGUCAAAUUUAAUCUCUUCCGUGUGAGUGUUUGGAGAAACGGCUAGAGAAAAUGAGGAUGAGAUCCUAUUCCUAAGCUUACAACCAAGGUUGUAUCUAUAAAAAUUGUUAUACACUCAUGUACUGUAAGGUUGUUAAUAGCCUCUUUACUGCCGCCAUUUUGUUGCUUUUUACACGCAAUCUGUUAAUAUGUUUGUGAUUUCGUCUGGUUCCAACAAUUA